rnacentral:rRNA from 1 species
GGGUCAGUAGGCUGGUCGUGCCACCGGUACGUACUGGUCUCACUGAUUCCUCCUUCCUGAAGAACCGUAGUGCCAUUAAUUUGGUGUUGCAGGGAAACAGGGCUGUUACUUUGAAAAAAUUAGAGUGUUUAAAGCAAGCUAACGCUUGAAUACAUUAGCAUGGAAUAAUGAAAUAGGACGAUCGAUCCUAUUUUGUUGGUUUCUAGGAUUGACGUA